rnacentral:lncRNA from 1 species
AAAGGAGAGAAGGAGAAUAUUUUAACUGUUUUUUUCCUUAAAAAAAUACUAUAAAACAUCAAAUGCAUAAUGGAAAGAAGGUCAGAUGAUCAGAUAUUCAUGGUGGUGUUAAAUAAAGUAUUCGUAAAGUGUGAUAAAAUGAAGUCAUUUUUAUUUAUAGUGGUACAAAAUAACGUUAUUUUUAUUGUUCACAAAUGAUAUUAUUUCAACACCACGGUUAAAUGAUCCAAACUCAAUGGAUAGUUGGAAAAAAAAUGUAUUAUCAUGGUAAAAAAAUAUAUAAAUAUGAGUAGUAGAAAAUAUUAAAAUACAUAAAAAAAUAUAAAUAUUGUAAAAAUUGUGUAUUAAGCAUUAUGCACUGGUUUUAAGGUUAGGUUGUGCCUUAGGUUCCAUCUAAAUAAAGGGCAAUAGAAUUUGACCCACCAAAAAAUUUUAAAAGAAAGAAAUUUUAAGAAGUUAUGUUUAGAGAAGGAUUGGACGAGGGGAACAAAAUAAAAAUAAAAAAUAGAAAAAUUAGAUUCUGAAAACUACACAAGCUAAGUCUUUCUUCACACUAGAAUAAAAUAUUAGUGAAAUUACAUCAUUUACUAAUUGCUUGGAAGUUCUUACUCUUAGGGGCUCGUGGCUGGAGGAUAUGGGAGGGAAUUUUAGAGGGGGAUAAAUUUUGGAGGGGGAUAAUUUUUAAUUUGGUUUAGAUACUUUUUAGAAUGAGUGGAUAAGGGUGUGAGAUAAGAGUAAAAUAUAUAUAAAGAAAUAAAAUAUAAAAUAUUUGAUUUGGGGGGGGGGGGGGGGGGGUGGUUAUAAAAAUAUAUUUAUUUUUUUUAUAUAUAUAAAAAAAAUUAUACAUUUUUGUUUGUCUUUAUAUAUUUUUUUUCUUAUCUCCCACCACCUUAUCCCUCCGGAUAACUUUUAGUUAGGAUCUAGGCCACCUAAAAAUUAUCCACCUCUAUCACCUGCUUGGGAAAAAGUUAUUCGCGGAGGAAAAGGUAUCCACUCCCAUAUCCGCCAGCCAAACCACCCGAAGAAAAAAAAUUAUCCCAGGAAAACAGUUACCCCUUAUAAACCACAAGCCAAACAUGCCUCAAGGGCGGAGCCAUGCCAAAGGCUGGACUGGGCUGGUAGCCUAGGGGAGGCUGGGCAAGCCAAGCCCAGUCCAGUCCACUAGUCCAGCCCACCCCAUUUUAGCCACCACAGCACACCACGGCGAGCCCAGUCUCAAACUGAAGAUAAAACACAAAUCAUUGGCCCCAAAUUGAAUUUCUAAAAUUUUGGUCUGGGAUAAAAAUGAAAUUUGUGUGCAUAAAAAGGAAAAUACGGACAUACGAUCUAUUCCAGUCCAACCCACCUCAGUCCAGCACCUCUUUCUUUUUAUUUCUCCAUUUGUUUGGUACUCACAAUUGAUUAUACCCGAACACUUCUUAAGGGAGUGAGAAGGGCGCCAUUAGCGCUAGAUCUUGGAGGUACAUAAUUUCAGGGUCUGCGGGAUUCAGCUAGGAGGAGGAUAGGUCUUGGUAUGUCUUGGAUAUGAUGUGGAACGUCAAACUUUCCUAAACAUCUAAUGAUAGCACAAGCGAGUGGCCGAGAGUGUAUACCCUAUGUAUACUAAUUCUGAGCUCUUUUUUCAAUUUUUAUCUUAUUAUGUCAUUGUCUUUGACCUGUCUUAUGCUGGCAGGAUUCUUUGAUUUUAUUGCUUCGUCACUACACGAGUUUGUACAAAAGGACAGAAGUUUCUGAAGGAUCGGCAAAUUAUGUCUUAGGAUUACAUAUAUACCUUUCUACUUGAAGAGAUUGCGACAAUAAUUAUUAUGCUAAAUAUGAAAUUGGUUUUUUUAAAAGUGGUUUUUUCAAAAGAUAUAGAAGUGUGAGUAGAAUUUAUUUUGCUUGAAACUCAUAAUUAUAUAAUAAUUGGUUUGCGUGUCAGGUUGGAAGGGAUUUUUUCUGAAUACUUCAAAGCAAUGUCUAAAAAUGUCUUAAUAGCGAGUAAUUUGGUCACUUUAUAAGUAGCGCUUUCUGUUCCAUUUUUAAUCAUUUUGCUGUCAGAGAUGUGUCCAAGAUCGUUAAGUGAUGAAUAAAUACUUGCAUCUAUUAUGUCUGUUAAAAUAUUAAAAAAUAAAGUUUUUCCUAGAUAUUUUUCUUAGAAUUUUUUAUAUUUUCGGCUAUGUACAUUUUUGCUAUAAUCUAUAUAUUAGGUAUGAAAUUGCUUGAUUUAUAUAACUUUUGCAUAUACAUAUUCUAUAAUUAUUAUUUUUAUUUAUUUAUUAAAAAAAAUUCUAACCCAGAGAAAAUUUAAAUCAUGGCUCCGCCCUUGCAUGGCCUUAUAUGUUAAAUUGUAAGGUUGCAGAAAAAUAAUCCCAACAGAUGGGAUACUUUUUGUCAGUUUCUAUCUCCAUACGUUGAACAUUUCGUCUGCAUACUUGUGAAAAGAAAACUAUUAUUCCCAACCCCGUGUCAGAGGGGGUGUGGGGAUGGGACAACUUUGGGAACUUUUGGCCAAAUUUGCCCUAAUUUUUGUUUACUUUUACAUUCUAAAUUUUUAUAGAAAUUUUUUAAAAACACUAGAAUUUAUUUAUUAAUUUUUUUGUAUACCAUUCUCUUUCUUUAUUUUUUUUUUAAAUUUUUUAAAUACAUAAAAUUUUUUAUUAGUAUUAUUUAUUCACAUAAAAAAAUAAUAAUUUUUAGCAUAUCAUCAGUAUCCAAUUCAACCUCACAUCAGAACUAAUUUUUAAUCAAUAUCUUCUCCAAACUCUCUUUUCCCUCCGGGGGCACCUGGUCCUCUAAACCCAUUCUUUUGACCAAAAAUUCAUUCGUACUUAUAACUAUCACCCCAUCCCUACCUUUGAAAGGGUUUUGAUGUGAUCAAAGUGGAGUGGGAAUAAUACCUCCCUUGUGAAAAGGGUUUAAUUGAAUGGUCAUUUCAUGCUUUUGGGAGGUUUGAGUAUAAAUUUGAGGGACGGUUCGGGAUAAUUUUCAUAUGAGUUGAAUUAAUUUUAAAAUUAAAAAAAUACUAAAAUCCAAAUUAAUCCAAUUGGUUAAAUAUAACACUGAAGAUCAGAUGAUAUCAAUAAACCAAGAAUUAAUCUAUUGUAUCAAAAUCUUUUUAUUGAUCAGCAACAAACAUAAAAUUUUACUCGUAAAAAAUGAUAAGAUACAAAAGAGAGGGGACGAGAGGUCCGCCAAAGAAAAUACAAAACACUAGAAAGAAAACAAACCAAAUUAAUCUCUAGCUAGAAAUGGAGAGGAAGCCUAAGACCAAAAGGAAGACAACUUAUCACUAAUCUUAUCUCUUUGCUAAGCUUGCACUAAAACUAACUAACUAAAGUGGUUGCUCAUUUACUAUGAUAAUGCUGUAAUCAUCCUGAGUUCAACUGGGACGAGAGCUUAAUACAGAGCUUGAGCUGGUGCCACUGGUUCAGCACUGCUGCUGAAGUUGCACAUGAGAAGACUGAGCUUGAUCAAUUGCCUUCUUGUCAAUCCACACCAUUCUCAUCACUAGGGAAGCUAGGAAGCUUGGGGCAUUCUACUUUGUGCAAAUAAAUCAAUUUUGGAAAUAAUAUCCUCAGAUCCCUCCAAUCCAUCUCUAGUUCACCCAAGUACUUCAAACACAAUAACUCAACUGUCCACUAGUCCCCGUCAUAAGGUUUCUGAAAUUGUCCUAGAUCACGUAAUUUCCCUCCUCUGAUGUAAUUCCUUCAUGUUGGCAAGUCUCAGCAAACUCGGGGGACUCGUCCCAUGGAAACAUUGAAGAUCCAGUUUUUGCAGCCUGGAAGGAAGUGUAGGAAGGUGUAGGUCCGGCAUCAUGGUGAGUAAUCCUAUUAUGGGGUUUGCAUUGCUUCCACCUAGUAAAGAGCAUCCUCCCCAAGAUAUUUUUAGACUUUGCAAGGUUUCAAAAUUUUGUGAAGCACUGAGGUGUUUCACUGUAAGUCUUGUACACUGGUGUAGAUGUUCAAUUUUUUCAACCAUCGAAGUCCUGACAAAUCAUCAAGAGUACACGAUGCCUUAUUGCCCUUGGAAGUCUUCAUAGGUUAGCAAGACUCUUGGGCAUGUAUUCUAAAUAGUAUCACUCAGACAUGGCCAAGUGUGUCAACCGCAUGAGUGAACCGAUCCCAUCUGGGACCACCUCAAGAUUGUGACUGGAUUUGAGAUCCAAGAUCUCCAGACUAAUGAGCUCUGAAAUGAAAGAGGGAAGCUUUGUAAUCAUAGAAAUUCCUCGAAGAUUUGCUUGAUAUUCUUCAGCCCGUGGAGAACUUUGUUGUCUGCAAUUUCAAUGUGGUGUGUGGCUGACUUCUUCCACCUUCCCAGGUAAAGUGUUUUGAGAAUUUUUUUCUCAAAUAGCUUUCCACCAAUAGUACUCUCACCACCAUUGAUCAGGUAUGACUCGUAUCGACCAUGAACUUCAGUAAUCUGACCUGUAAUAUAUUUUUAAGUAAUUCUAGAAAUCAUGGCUCUAAUGGAUAAAGAGGACCGAACAGAAAGGCUCAUCCUGCAACUGUCGCACCAAGCUGCACUUUUGGCAGACAAGCUCGAUGAUGCCCCCUUUCAAUGAACUUAUCUAAAAUCCCAUUGGCGAUAUCCUCCUUCAAGAAGGGUUCAUUCGAAAUCCAUAAGUAAAUCAUAACCCUUCUCUUUAUGACAGCCUAUGAAGGGAACAAGAAAGCGUGGAAUCUGGCUUUGCUGUCCAAAUCCUUAUGGAAACUUCAGUCAAAAAAAAAUCCUUAUGGGUGAAGUGGGUGAAUCAAAUAUAAAUAAAGAGACGCUCAUUUUGGGAAUACACCCAGGCAAAACAGGACUCCCAGAUGUUAAGGCAAUUAGCCAUAAUCAAAGACAAGAUUGUCACAUGCGAAGGGAAUCAUCAGAUAGCUUUAGACAGAUUAAAUCAGUGGGCAGAGUCGGGCAAAUUUAACGUCAAGGCAUGCUACAAGUUCUUUAGACCGAAGGGGCCGAAAAUAUGCUGGACAAAAAUAGUUUGGCAUCGAUCUAUAAUGCCAAAACAUCCUUCAUCU